UUUUCACCUGUUAUCAAUUUCCCUCAGAAUAUUUCAUUUCCCCUCCUGCCUCAGCUUUUGCUUUGUGUUUGUGUUUGUCUAACCAACCUCUUUUGUAUGCUCUUUUUCCUAAUGCUCUCAUAGGAUUCCAACCUGUAAGGUUUUGCUUUUCAAUUUGAUGGGACUCUUUUUAUGACUUUAUUUUGUUUUGAGUUUCUGUUAAGUUGCCUGAAAAGUUUGGGGUCUUUUCAUUUUAUAUUUCUGCAUUCUUGUUUUUGACCACUUGCUCCAAGCCCUGGUCCUGAUUUUGACCCAAACCCAAGUUUAUAUCUUGUACUUCCACCCAAACCAAGUCCACGCCUAUAGAAUAUAGAGUAGUAUAUCAAAUUGAGGCAUUGGAUACAAAAACAGACCAACCAGUCUGCCUUCAGUAUAAAGAUCACUCUUUAAUUUUUCCCCAGUUUUGCUUUGCCUUGUCUGCCCCCUGUGUAGCCUUGAGUUCAUCCUGAACUUUUUUUGUGUUCAGGUAACUCAUAUGGGUGGUUUUACAUUAGCACAUCUGAAUGUGGUUUAUGAGGUUCGUGUGACUUAAUAGAUGUGAGAAAACAUUUUUUUAGCAAGCUGUGCUGUCUAAGAUGGUGAGAGAUUUACACAUGAAUCUGAGCAGAUUUGAGGCUUAUUUUAUGGUGCCAUUGGAGUCAUCAUUCAGGUCACAGCAACACUGAAGAAUUCCUGUAGUGAAACUGCAGCAGCCUGAGAUCUCCAGUGCUGCUGGUGGACCAGAAGUGACAAGGGGCUACAGCUUCUCCAUCAUUUGCUUCACUAGAUCUCAGUAUCCAGGAGGGCACUUCCACUUGAAGUUCAGUGGAUCAGACAUUAGUACAAUCAUGACUCAGUCAGCUCUUGACCACUCAGCCAGCUUCCAGUUUCCUUGGGCAGAUUUUGUCCAUCAGGGAAACUACAGCUGCACUUAUGAAGUGAGCGUGUCUUCACGUACCUUCACCUCCACUUCCACUGAGCUUCUUGUCAUCACUGUGAAAGCAUCCAAGUCUCCUUACAUUGGUGUUGGAGUGACAGUAGGACUGCUUCUCCUCUUAGUUCCGGUCAUCAUUUACUUUGUCAAGAAGCAGAAAUCACGAAGGGGGAUGCUAAAUAAGAAGAUAGAUAUGCAAGGUGCCAAAAUCACAUAUGAGAUUCCACAAGGAGAGACUGAUCCAGAUGAGACUGAAGCAGAUUAAGAGAAACCCGAAAUCUUUUUCCAGAAAAAGGAAGAUUCAGGGUAUAAUGGCUACAUUAAUGAUGCUGAUUAUGGCAAUGGUUAUGAGGAAUCAGACAUUUAUGCCCACUGUGUAGUGUAGUGUCCAAUAUCCACAGUGCAGGAAGUGUUACAUGACAUUUUUGUGUAACUUUUAAACAAUCAUUUUAUUUAAUUUUUUCUUUAAACAAAUUUUUUCUAUAACCUAAUCGUAGUCUAGAGAUUUUCUUUUUUUUUACCUGCAGGACUUUCUUGGAUUUUUUU